GCGGGAGUAACUCAGUGGUAGAGUGUCAGCUUCCCAAGCUGAAGGUCGCGGGUUCGAAUCCCGUUUCCCGCUCCA
rnacentral:tRNA from 1 species